ensembl:snRNA U6 U6 spliceosomal RNA
AUGCUCACUUCAACAGCACAUAUACUAAAAUAGGAAGGAUAGGGAUUAGCAUGACCCCUGCAUCAGAAUGACAUUCAGAUUUGUGACAUUUUGUAAAAAAAA